rnacentral:lncRNA from 1 species
UUUAAUUUCCAUUACCUUGAACGGUCUUGGGGUUGAAAGGUGAAAUGAUGAAUCUUUAGAGUAAGGAGCUUUGGAGUUAUAUACUGAAUGCAAAGCUCUGCGCCGCUUGCUAGUUUCAUCUCUCUCCGCUAGAUAGCAUUACCCGAUUUCACAAAUCAGCGCCGGCGCGACAGCCGCUACUGGCCGAAACAACACGCGGGUAAGUAUCUUGAAUUCAGUUUUCGAUGGUCGCUCGACGGUGAGGAGCUACGCCGUGUCUCCCGUACUUCGUCCCGUAACUCAAAACUUUUCGGAUCGUAAACACAACUGUUUCUAUUCAAAAUGUGAAAUGUUACGCGCUUACUAACAGUUCCGAUUGUAAUCAGUUCCAAAUUAGUCGAAAUUCUCAGUUUUUUCCGCGAUCGGCGUUGGGUUUUGGGUUUGUUUACAUUCACUUUCCGGUUUCCGGUAACCUAAAGUGUGUUUUGUUCGCGAACGGAUUUGGAUACGAUGCUCUAAACUUGGAUACAGUGACCUCAACUUGGAUGUACAGUGUCUGAUAGUGUGACUCAAGUUUCACCUGGAAACUGAGUGUGUGUCUCACCGGGUGUUUGAGUGUUGUGUUUUAUGCCCCCGUUUCGAAGUUUGACAUGUGAGAUCAGAAUGUGUCACGAUGCAUCGUUACUUCAGAAUUUCCAUCAUCCUGCUGGCUGUCUUCGUGUUCCAGCUGCAUGUGUUUGGACUCGACGCCGAAAAUGAAGAGGGCGAGUCGAUGAGCCUGGAGCCGAUGUACGACCGGAUGACGCGGCACCGCUCGAUCAAGCGGGUGCCGACCAACUACAGAGGGAAGCUGGGCGUCCGGUGGCGGAGACAGAACGAGCGCGGGGUGGGCGCCGGAGCGGGCGUCGGGGGGCGCCUUAAGAAAACGGCCGCCGCCCACCAGAACGGCCACGGCCCGCCGCUACCUCCGCUAGACGACGAGGCACCCCCGGAGAUGAUCUACCUCAACUCAAACGCCAGCGCUCUCUACCACUCUAAAGAGAAGCAGAACAAAAUCGGCAAAAACUUCCGCUCGUGGACUGAGGUGAGCAGCUAUUCAAAUCUAUUUGAAUAUAUUCGCAGAAAGAUUGGGAUGCCCCAUUCCCAACUCAGCUUAUCAUCGUGGCACCUGCCGAAAAUGUGAACA